AUGGGGAACUACCCGGAACGUAGGACGAGAUUGCGUUUGAAGGAAAAGAAGCGGUAUUAUUUUGACUCAAAAUCUUGGAACAAGUACAAAUAAGUCCUUCUCCUUUAUAGUCUGGCUAAUCUACCCCCAAGCUUUCUUUCCAUGUUAGUCUUGCCUUGGCCUUUUGCCCUCUCUCACACUGCAGAGAUAAAUCAUGCUCGUCUUCUGUUUUCGCAGAUACAAAACCCCAGUACUUAUAUUUGGAAUACCAUGAUUAGAGGCUACUCUGAAGCCAAAAUGGGCCAUAGCGGCUUCUUGUUUUUCUGCCAAGUGGUUCAAAAUGGCGCUGAAAUGGACUGUAGGAGCUUUGUUCUUGCGCUCAAAGCGUGCGGCGAGCAGUUUUUGAGAGUUUUAGGAGGGAAAUCAGUUCAUUGUGGUAUUCGAAAGGUGGGUUUUGUUUCUGCUAUGUUGUUUCAAGAUGGGUUGGCUCGUUUUUAGGAUCUGCUGCGUGGUUGUUUGGGUUUUGCUUGACACUUGUUUGAUGGAAUUCCCGCUAGAGAUGGACUUUCUGUCUAUGACUGAUGGGUAUUCUAAGCGUAACUGUUGGGAUGAGACAUGGAAGCUUUUUGACUCGAUGUCAGUGGAAGGCAAUGUAGAGCCAGAAGAGGUCACUAUGAUAGCCGCUCGUUCAGCUUGCUCGCAGAAGGGGGGUUUGAGAUUAGGGAAGAGUUUUCACGAAUAUGUAAAACUAGAAAUGUAAAUCACCAUGAAUGUGAAAUGUGGCUGCUUGGAUUCUGCAAGAGGGAUCUUUGAUACCAUGGGAGUUAGAGAUGUGUUCUCUUGGACGAGUAUGGUUAAUGGGUAUGCUAAAAGCGGUGAGCUAGAGCUGGCAAGGAUGUCGUUUAAUGAGAUGCCGGAGAGGAAUGUGGUUUCCUGGAGUGCCAUGAUUGCUGGGUAACCACCCAAAGGAGUCUCUUCUUGCUGAAGUAGAGAGGAAUUUAUAGAUUUCUGAUUCAGCUGGGAGAAGGGUGCGGCAGUCAGAGAAGAAUGAGAUUUUCACAGUUAAAUUAAAUUAGCUUGUGCUCUCAUUGAUGAUAUUCAGGAUUUGAGAAUUUUGGUACUUUACUCUGGCAAGGUAUAUUUCCUUCUAAAAAUUGUGAUGUAUUUGUGGUA